CUCCCGCCGGCGACCGGCGCACGGGUGAGUAACACGUAUGAAACCUGCCCGUAGCAGGGGGAUAAGCGGAAGAAAUUCCGUCUAAUACCGCGUAACAACCCGAGGAGGCAUCUCCUCGGGUUUAAAGGAAGCGAUUCCGGCUACGGAUGGUCAUGCGUCGCAUUAGCUAGUUGGCGGGGUAACGGCCCACCAAGGCGACGAUGCGUGGGGGUUCUGAGAGGAAGGUCCCCCACACUGGUACUGAGACACGGACCAGACUCCUACGGAAGGCAGCAG
rnacentral:rRNA from 1 species